UCACAAAAUUGUUUGGGUUGGAAGGGACCUUUAAAGCUCAUCUUGUCUUCAUCUUAAACCAGUCAUCUGUCAACUAGAUCGAACUGCUCAGAGUUCCAUCCAACCCGGCCUUGGAUGGUUCCAGGGAUGGGGCAUCUACCACCUCUCUGAGCAAUCUGUUCCAGUGUUCCACCAUUCUCAUUUAUGACAAAACCGCUGCCUCCCAACGCCACUGGUAUCAGUGAGGGGCACUAGAAGCAUUUUCUUGGACUCCAAAGACUUCAGGGUUCAGUUCAAGUCUGUGGUUUGUAAUAUUCAAGAACGACAUUGCCUAGCCAAAGAAAAGAAUAAUCACAUUGAUUCUAAGAAGCUGAUAAUGGAAUUGAAAUUAAAUUACUGCACAAUGAAACUUGUGCCAAUUUACAGGUCAGAGUUUGAAGUCAGUUGUGCUGCAGCAACACUACAAUUCUUAAAUUUCAAGCCAUACUCUUUAAAAGUUUUUACUUAAAUUUUUAAUGCUUAGCUUUAUAAAAAAUUAAAAGAGAGGGAGUUUUUCUGCAAUUAAGAAAUACUCCAUGAACUUUUAGGAGGGACUACAUAUUUCAAAAAUUUGGGAGGAGCAUUCUGUAAUUGGAGUUGACACUUGUCAUAGUGAACAUGCACAGUUGACCCUGCCACAGUAUCCCUCAUCUUGCACAUGGAGACACAUCCUUCUACAGCAUCUGACCAGCAGGCAGCAGCCCUAAGUCAGCUCUCCAGCUUGCUCAAAUAGAGAUGAAGAACAGACUGGGGACAAGGACACUAUCACACCCAGUGAGAUGUAGUGUAUAGCAGAAGGCUUAGUCCUUGCUCGGGAAGGCCCACACGGCAUGAAGCAGAAAGCAAAAUUCAGGCCUGGAAGAGCAAGAUCCAAAUCUGAAAAGCCUCAAUAACAUAUAUUUCUUUACAGAUUAAA